rnacentral:rRNA from 1 species
AGUGAACGCUGGCGGUAGGCCUAACACAUGCAAGUCGAACGGCAGCACAGUAAGAGCUUGCUCUUACGGGUGGCGAGUGGCGGACGGGUGAGGAAUACAUCGUAAUCUACUUUUUCGUGGGGGAUCACGUAGGGAAACUUACGCUAAUACCGCAUACGACCUACGGUUGAAAGCAGGGGAUCUUCUGACCUUGCGCGAUUGAAUGAGCCGAUGUCGGAUUAGCUAGUUGGCGGGGUAAAGGCCCACCAAGUCGGCGAUCCGUAGCUGGUCUGAGAGGAUGGUCAGCCACAUGGGAACUGAGACACGGUCAAGACUCCUACGGGAGGCAGCAGUGGGGAAUAUUAGACAAUGGGCGCAAGUAUGAUCCAGCCAGACCGCGUGGGUGAAGGAGGCCUUCGGGUUGUAAAGACCUUUUGUUGGGAAAGAAAAGCAGCAGGUUAAGACCACGCGGGUCUGACGGUAACGAAAGAAGAAGCACCGGCUAACUUCGUG